GCUUAACACAUGCAAGUCGAACGGCAAGGCCCUGCUUUUGUGGGGUGCUCGAGUGGCGAACGGGUGAGUGACACGUGAGUAACCUGCCCUUGACUUUGGGAUAACUUCAGGAAACUGGGGCUAAUACCGGAUAGGAGCUCCUGCUGCAUGGUGGGGGUUGGAAAGUUUCGGCGGUUGGGGAUGGACUCGCGGCUUAUCAGCUUGUUGGUGGGGUAGUGGCUUACCAAGGCUUUGACGGGUAGCCGGCCUGAGAGGGUGACCGGCCACAUUGGGACUGAGAUACGGCCCAGACUCCUACGGGAGGCAGCAGUGGGGAAUAUUGCACAAUGGGCGGAAGCCUGAUGCAGCAACGCCGCGUGCGGGAUGACGGCCUUCGGGUUGUAAACCGCUUUCGCCUGUGACGAAGCGUGAGUGACGGUAAUGGGUAAAGAAGCACCGGCUAACUACGUGCCAGCAGCCGCGGUGAUACGUAGGGUGCGAGCGUUGUCCGGAUUUAUUGGGCGUAAAGGGCUCGUAGGUGGUUGAUCGCGUCGGAAGUGUAAUCUUGGGGCUUAACCCUGAGCGUGCUUUCGAUACGGGUUGACUUGAGGAAGGUAGGGGAGAAUGGAAUUCCUGGUGGAGCGGUGGAAUGCGCAGAUAUCAGGAGGAACACCAGUGGCGAAGGCGGUUCUCUGGGCCUUUCCUGACGCUGAGGAGCGAAAGCGUGGGGAGCGAACAGGCUUAGAUACCCUGGUAGUCCACGCUGUAAACGGUGGGUACUAGGUGUGGGGUCCAUUCCACGGGUUCCGUGCCGUAGCUAACGCUUUAAGUACCCCGCCUGGGGAGUACGGCCGCAAGGCUAAAACUCAAAGGAAUUGACGGGGCCCCGCACAAGCGGCGGAGCAUGCGGAUUAAUUCGAUGCAACGCGUAGAACCUUACCUGGGUUUGACAUGGAUCGGGAGUGCUCAGAGAUGGGUGUGCCUCUUUUGGGGUCGGUUCACAGGUGGUGCAUGGCUGUCGUCAGCUCGUGUCGUGAGAUGUUGGGUUAAGUCCCGCAACGAGCGCAACCCUUGUUCACUGUUGCCAGCACGUUAUGGUGGGGACUCAGUGGAGACCGCCGGGGUCAACUCGGAGGAAGGUGGGGAUGACGUCAAGUCAUCAUGCCCCUUAUGUCCAGGGCUUCACGCAUGCUACAAUGGCUGGUACAGAGAGUGGCGAGCCUGUGAGGGUGAGCGAAUCUCGGAAAGCCGGUCUCAGUUCGGAUUGGGGUCUGCAACUCGACCUCAUGAAGUCGGAGUCGCUAGUAAUCGCAGAUCAGCAACGCUGCGGUGAAUACGUUCCCGGGGCUUGUACACACCGCCCGUCAAGUCAUGAAAGUUGGUAACACCCGAAGCCGGUGGCCUAACCGUUGUGGGGGAGCCGUCGAAGGUGGGACUGGUGAUUAGGACUAAGUCAUAAC
rnacentral:rRNA from 1 species